CAAAGCAGAAUACCAACUUCUGCGAGCACCUACCAGGUACUGAGCAUGCAGCAGAGCUCAGAGCGUGGCUUCCCAGCCCUGCACUCCUACAGCUUUCUAAGCUGUGGCAAGUGGCCAGUGUAAAUAUUUGCUGUGUUAUUUUGGGGGCUCAGCAGCAUGGUAAGCACUUAAUAGAUAAAAAUAUUCCACAGCAAAGGCAGAAAGACGACGAAUCAAGAACCAUAUGGCAGCUAAAGCAAACAACAAACCGUUAAUGGUAUUGUUAAGAAAAGGCUAACUUAUGUGGCAGCUGUGGAAAGAUCAAGAUUAAGGAAAGCAGUGAAGUCGCCCAUUUUGAAGCCAAGGUCAUCGAUGGGAUUUAUAGAUUUAUCCCCGAAGGCAGCCUUUGCUGAACAUGAAAUGCUGAAAUUAUUAUUUUCUUCCACCUACCCCCGCUCCGUUCGGGUUAUCUCAUUUGCUGGAGGCUUUUAAAAUUCAUUCCUCUCCACAGCUGGUUAAACAAUGGAAUCUUUCUGCAAACUAAAAGGACAAAAUUGAUUGCCCUACACAAACUUUUCUGCACGUAUAAUUGAUUUUUAAUUCACUGUCUCAUUUCCGAAAGGACUUGACAAUAAACUCGGUGCUGCAUGUGCAAUAUCGAUCCCUUUAAACAAUGGCUUGGAUCAAAUCCUGAUGCGAGUUAAUCACAACCAAAGAGAUGGAUGCCUUUUGUCUAAAAAGCUGGUUUUAAGCUCAAUUCACCAUCUCCCACCACGUUAUUUUCUGGCUGGAUUGCAGCACAUCAUUUCAUAUCUAUCUCAGCUGCAAGCAAGCUUUAAUGCACGCAACUCAAGCAGAAAAGCCUGAUCCUCCCUCAGUUACUUUUUACUGCAAGAACUGGACGUUCCCAUCCUUUCCUUCAGCUACAACUUCCUUUAGUCUUCCUAAAACAGGUCCUGUGGCUUGUUUGGAGUUUUGGGUGUUAGCAGUAUCAGUUUCUUGAUGAACUCACCAGCUGAAAGCACCACGUGAGUCCUGAAGUCAGAAAGCAUUCCUAGGAACGGCCACUAUCAAGCUUUGCUUUCUGCUCCUGGUGGAUAAAAAAUUAAAGCUGAGAGACCGAGGGGAGGAGAAAAGGGAGGAAAACCCAAGCAAUAACGCAGAGCUGCCACAUCCCCUGGACUCCCUUAACUUUGGAAGGCACCACCCUGAGCUGGAAAGGCCUCAUCAGUGUUCUUCAUCAUCAACAUCUCCAUGCUAAUGAGGAGCACGGUUCCAUGCAGCAAAAGCCUCCCUGCGCAAUAACUGCAACACACGGCAGCAGUGAACUCUGCCUUCAGCAAGCAUGCAUAAAUAAACAGAAUUAAUAACUA